rnacentral:sRNA from 1 species
AGGGCUGGGCGCAGUGAUUCACGUCUGUAAUCCCAGCACUUUUAGAGGCCAAGGUGAGAGGACUGCAUGAGCCCAGGAGUUUGAGACCAGCCUGGACAACAUGGGAAUCUUUAACCAGUUUCAGUGUAGUAGUGAAAAAGUGCUUCCAUCUGACACUCUCCGCAGUGCUCUGGCAAAGACUUUCCAGGAUGAACAACGUUUCCAGCUGGGAAUUAUGGAUGAUGCUGCAGAGUGCUUUGAAAACCUCCUGAUGAGAAUUCACUUCCACAUUGCUGAUGAAACCAAAGAGGAUAUAUGUACUGCCCAACACUGCAUUUCCCAUCAGAAAUUUGCAAUGACAUUGUUUGAGCAGUGUGUAUGUACUAGCUGUGGUGCCACUUCUGAUCCGCUGCCUUUCAUCCAG